UCCUCGAUCUUGUUCGCCCUUCUCAAUAGACCUCUUUCCUUCGUCUUCUUUUUACCCAUCUUACCUUUCAAUACCGCCAACCCAUUAUCCAAAAAAUUAUCACCAAUUUGUGGCACAUAGCAAUAAGCGAACCUCUUUCUUCGUCUUGCUCCCUUUUGAGGUCCACUAAUUUCCCCCAAUUCCUUCCCAAAUCCAUCACUACAGUGUUCUCCUUUGUUCUCGAGGAUAAUAAUUCGUUCCCUAAUCUAGACUAGAUGUGAAGGACCAAAAGCGGAUGGAGGUACAUUCUCCAAGAUGGGAUAAUUCAUCUUAAUUCUUUUCAUUAAGGUGUGAUAUUUAUGCCUGCAUUCAUUUCCAUACUUAACCAACUAGCUCUUGCACAUUGAAACGUUGGCUUUCUGGGGAAAAUCUUCAAUUUUCUCUUAAGCCUUCCUUUUAAGAAGUAUCUUUCAAUGGCUAAUAAAUUUCCAUUGUGUUCAGCACAAAUUUAUAUAGAACUGAUCAAUGAUUCAUAUGACUUAUAAUUUCUAACUAAGCUUUUAAAGAACUUUUCUGCUUGGCAUUUCGCUUUAUUGCUAUGACUUCUUGAUUUGGAUUGAUUUCAAACAUUGCUGACUCAACUGAGGUAAAAGCGUUGUGGAGACAAAGUUGGAUGAAAGAAAG